rnacentral:rRNA from 1 species
AUUGAACGCUGGCGACAUGCCUUACACAUGCAAGUCGAACGGCAGCACGGGUGCUUGCACCUGGUGGCGAGUGGCGAACGGGUGAGUAAUACAUCGGAACAUGUCCUGUAGUGGGGGAUAGCCCGGCGAAAGCCGGAUUAAUACCGCAUACGAUCUACGGAUGAAAGCGGGGGACCUUCGGGCCUCGCGCUAUAGGGUUGGCCGAUGGCUGAUUAGCUAGUUGGUGGGGUAAAGGCCUACCAAGGCGACGAUCAGUAGCUGGUCUGAGAGGACGACCAGUCACACUGGGACUGAGACACGGCCCAGACUCCUACGGGAGGCAGCAGUGGGGAAUUUUGGACAAUGGGCGAAAGCCUGAUCCAGCAAUGCCGCGUGUGUGAAGAAGGCCUUCGCGUUGUAAAGCACUUUUGUCCGGAAAGAAAUCCUUGGCCCUAAUACGGUCGGGGGAUGACGGUACCGGAAGAAUAAGCACCGGCUAACUACGUG